rnacentral:lncRNA from 1 species
UCCCUUGAAGAUGAAGAAGAAGCUGAAUCCAAAUCCAAUACUGUAGUGCUCACCACUGGCCCCUUAGAGGGAGGAGCUUCAUGUGAUUAUGCAAAAGUCAGAAGAGUCCACAGGCAUCUGAAGGGAAUAUCUCUUGAAAGAAAAUCCUCAUGCUUCCUUGGUACCAUCCGGAAGAGAGUGCUCUCAGAUAGGUGGGUUGGUUUUGAGGCUUUUCUGUAAUUUCUCUCAAGACUCAUUUUUCUCUUAUGUUCUUCUGAAAUUGUCCUAUGCCCUUAACUUCUAACAUUUUUCUGGCCCCUAUUUCCUCUUACAUUUUUACUACCUCACUUUAUGGGUUUCCCACAGUAAUUUCAGCAUGCCCUGUGUAAGAGAGAACAUCUCCCCCGCCAGCAUUUCUGCAAGUGUUCUCUGAAGGUGAGGAGGCCAGGCCCUGAUGUCCCUGGGCCUGGGGCUAGCCUACCACCAGAGGCCCAGCUAUGAUCUCGUUGGGCUUUUUUAAAUUAAUUAAUUAAUUAAGUUUUGGCUGAACCACAUGGCUUGCAGGAUCUCAGUUCCCUAACCAGGGAUUGAACCCUAGGCCACAGCAGUGAAAGUCCAGAAUCCUAACCACUAGGACACCAGGGAACUCCCCUAGUCUUAUUGUUUUAAUCAGUAAUUACUUUUUUAAUUAAUAAAGAGGGUGAAAUUAAUUAAUUAAAGAAUGUGCCUUCAUAAAAAAUUGAAGUUAAGGCAAAGUUUAAAAUUUAAAUUCUUCAUCUGUUUCCAAAAGUUAUUUUUCUUUUAAAGUACUCAAAAUUAUUAAUAUUAAAAGGCCAGGGACUUCCCUGGUGGUGCAGUGGUUGGGAAUCUGCCUGCCAAUGCAGGGGAUUUGGGUUCAAUCCCAGGUCUGGGAAGAUCCCGCAUGCUGUGGAGCAACUAAGCCUGUGUGCUGCAACUACUAAGCCCUCGCACCACAACUACUGAGCCCACACGCCUAGAGCCCGUGCUCCGCAACAAGAGAAGCCACAGCAAUGAGAAGCCCGCGCACCACAACGAAGAGUAGCCCCCGCUCACCGCAACUAGAGAAAGCCCAGGCACAGCAACGAAGAGCCAACACAGACAAAAAUAAAAAAUAAAUAAAUAAAUUUUACAGGCCAAA